rnacentral:rRNA from 1 species
GGAUUAGGCAUGCAAGUCGAGCGAAUCCCAGCAAUGGGGGAAGCGGCGUAAGGGGCAGUAAGGCGUGGGUACCUACCCGGGGGUCGGGGAUAGCCCGUCGAGAGACGGGGUAAUACCCGAUGACCUCGCGAGAGCAAAGUUGCGACGCCCCCGGCGGGGCCCACGUGGUAUCAGCUAGUUGGUGGGGUGACGGCCCACCAAGGCGGAGACGCCUAGCGGGUGUGAGAGCACGACCCGCGCCACCGGCACUGAGACACUGGCCGGACACCUACGGGUGGCUGCAGUCGAGGAUCUUCGGCAAUGGGGGCAACCCUGACCGAGCGACGCCGCGUGGGCGACGAAGGCCUUCGGGUUGUAAAGCCCUGUCGAGGGGGAGAAAAGCGAAAGCGUGAUCGACCCCUGGAGGAAGCACGGGCUAAGUUCGUGCCAGCAGCCGCGGUAAGACGAACCGUGCGAACGUUGUUCGGAAUCACUGGGCUUAAAGGGCGCGUAGGCGGGCUGGCAAGUCCGGGGUGGAAUCCCGCGGCUCAACCGCGGGACGGCCCCGGGUACUGCCGGCCUCGAGGCGGGUAGGGGCGCGCGGAACUCUGGGUGGAGCGGUGAAAUGCGUUGAGAUCCAGAGGAACUCCGGUGGCGAAGGCGGCGCGCUGGACCCGUACUGACGCUGAGGCGCGAAAGCCAGGGGAGCGAACGGGAUUAGAUACCCCGGUAGUCCUGGCCCUAAACGUUGAGGACUAGGUAGCAGGCCGGCAUGGGCUUGCUGCCGGAGCGAAAGUGCUAAGUCCUCCGCCUGGGGAGUACGGCCGCAAGGCUGAAACUCAAAGGAAUUGACGGGGGCUCACACAAGCGGUGGAGCAUGUGGCUUAAUUCGAGGCUACGCGAAGAACCUUAUCCCGGACUUGACAUGUGCGAAAGCGCCAGG